GUUCUGUUAUUGUGCUUUCAAAAGAGUGUGCAUCUUUCAGGUGGUGCCUUCAUGAGCUUGUGACAAUCCUUGAACGCAAGAGGACCUCCUCCGGUCAACAUGUUCUACCAGUCUUCGACGACAUCGAUCCAUCUCAUGUGAGGAAGCAGGCAGAAAAUCUUGCAAAGAUUCCUACAUACCAAGACAAUCAGUGUUUGGAGAAGUUAAAUGACUGGCGGGCAGCUAAUAAAGUCUAGUCAUUCAUUAAUAUCUUUACUAAUCUUGAAUCUAAUUUCCUUUUGCUUGUAGGCAUUCUCUUCUGACCACAGUUUCAGGGUCAAGCUGGUAGUGGUGUUUAUAUGUCUUUUGUUGCUAGCGUGAUAUCAGCUCUGAAGAUGUUACAAGUUUACAAGAGUAUGGUGCUUCCACUAAAGGUAACUUGUAUAGAAAGUUUUUAAAAGCCAAGCUAUGAAUAUGCAGAACAUCCAUGGGACCAUAGCCUAUCCAUACAAAACCAAAAGUACAGAAUUUGGACAUAUUGUAUCUUUUCCCAAUGGUGGGUUGCAUGGACCCAACUUGACAGAGAUGAGUAUCUAUGAUUAUUGGAAAUUGGGUUCCUGGCUGCAACAUAUGCGCUCACUCCUCCCAUCUCUUAAGUUUUUGUCAGUAUCAGAUUGCCCAAAGUUUGUCAACUAUUGUGGAAGGGGAUUGCCUUCACGAUUAAAAUCAUUUGACAUCAGGCAUGGUAAAAAACUCAAUCCAAAAGUUAUGCAGAAUCCGAACAAGGGGCUCCGAAUACUCGCAUUGUCACUUGACUUUGGUAAACUCUUCUCCGGAAGAGGGGCUGUUUCCCAGCACUCUCACCCAUCUAACGAUCUACCGGGUCUAAAUCUUAAGACCAUGGAUGGCGCCAAGUGGUCUGGGCAUCUCAACUUUCUCGAAAUUUUGAAGAUUAGCUGUUUCUCUGCGCUUCAGUACUUUCCAGAUAGUGGACUACCUAGUUCUCUUAAAAUUUUGAAAAUAAGGUAUUGUUAUGCGCUGUAGUGCUUGCCUCGAAGUGGACUACCCACUUCUCCUAAGAUUUUGGAGAUUACGUAUUGCUCUGUGCUGCAGUGCUUGCCAGAAAAUGGGCUACCCAUUUGUCUUUGUGAAAUACAUAUCAUUGGAUGUCACUUGCUAGAGAAACUGUGCCAGAUAGAGUGGGGAAUAUUGGCCCAAGAUUGCUCACAUCCCCCACAAAAUGAUCACUUCCAGGCGUUGAGGCUGUCCCAAUUCUUGUAAUCAUCAUCGUAAUCAUAUGCAAUUACCUGUCAGCAUCUCAGUAAGCAAUCUUUUUUUAGGGUCUCAACUCUUGGACCUCCUGGAGAACCGUAUGUUAAAAGAAGGCUAAGAAUGCUCACAUGCCCAAUGUUCGGAUGUCUUGCUGGCAUCAGUUGUAAUUGUAAUUAUCAAAUUCUAAGGUUUUACUGCAAUCUAUGCAUCUUUUAAUCUUUUGCAUUGUAAUUUGUAACACAUAAGUCGGGUUUGUAUUGAACUUCUAAUAGACUUUUGAACUCGAGUCCACAAUAAUGCCUCAAAGAAAAUGGAAUUGAAGCCUUAGGCAUUGCAUUUUGUAAAAGAUGGCUUAUAUAUCCUCUAUAUUCUGUUCUCUACAUGCAACAUCUCAGUAACUAAAAUUUGUAACCCCUCAUCUCAGCA